AAGUCGUAACAAGGGUUUUCCCGUAGGUGAACCUGCGGAAGGGAUCAUUUACAAGGUUCUUAGUGACAUCUCGAAAGAGAUCCCUCCCAAGUAUCCCACCCGUGUCUAUAUACUCUUGUUGCUUUGGCGGGGCGUGGCCUCCACUGCGGGCUCUGCUCGUACGUACCCCGCCAGAGGACCAAACCUCUGAAUGUUAGUGAUGUCUGGAGUACUAUAUAAUAGUUAAAAC
rnacentral:misc_RNA from 1 species